GACGCUGGCGGUGCGCCUUAUGCAUGCAAGUCGAGCGAAGCUUUUCAGUAGUUUACUACAGAAAAUGACUGAGCGGCGAACGGGUGAGUAACGCGUGAGCAACCUACCUUAGUUACUGGGAUAGCCCGAGGAAACUCGGAUUAAUACCGGAUAUUCUUAUUUAAUCACAUGAUUUUUUAAGGAAAGGUCAGCCGAACUAAGAUGGGCUCGCGUUCUAUCAGCUAGUUGGUAGGGUAAUGGCCUACCAAGGCUACGACGGAUAGCUGGUCUGAGAGGACGAUCAGCCACACUGGGACUGAGACACGGCCCAGACUCCUACGGGAGGCUGCAGCAGGGAAUAUUGCGCAAUGAGCGAAAGCUUGACGCAGCGACACCGCGUGUGGGAUGACGGAUCUAGGUUUGUAAACCACUUUCAGGAGGGAAGAAAAUGACGGUACCUCCACAAGAAGCCCCGGCCAACUACGUGCCAGCAGCCGCGGUAAUACGUAGGGGGCGAGCGUUGUCCGGAUUUAUUGGGCGUAAAGAGCUCGUAGGCGGUUCAACAAGUCGGUCGUGAAAGUUCAGGGCUCAACCCUGAAAUGUCGAUCGAUACUGUUGUGACUAGGAUACGGUAGAGGUGAGUGGAAUUCCGAGUGUAGCGGUGAAAUGCGUAGAUAUUCGGAGGAACACCAAUUGCGAAGGCAGCUCACUGGGCCGCUAUCGACGCUGAGGAGCGAAAGCUAGGGGAGCAAACAGGAUUAGAUACCCUGGUAGUCCUAGCUGUAAACGAUGGAUACUAGACGUAGGAAUUGGAUUAACGAUUUCUGUGUCGUAGCUAACGCGUUAAGUAUCCCGCCU
rnacentral:rRNA from 1 species